CGAACAGCCUGGCACGGACUUCGGUCUGGUGGCGAGUGGCGAACAGGUGAGUAAUGUAUCGGAACGUGCCUAGUAGCGGGGAUAACUACGCGAAAGCGUAGCUAAUACCGCAUACGCCCUUCGGGGGGAAAGCGGGGGACCUUCGGGCCUCGCACUAGAAGCGGCCGAUAUCGGAUUAGCUAGUUGGUGGGGUAACGGCUCACCAAGGCGACGAUCCGUAAGCUGGUUUUGAGAGGACGACCAGCCACACUGGGACUGAGACACGGCCCAGACUCCUACGGGAGGGCAGCAGUGGGGAAUUUUGGACAAUGGGGAAACCCUGAUCCAGCCAUCCCGCGUGUGCGAUGAAGGCCUUCGGGUUGUAAAGCACUUUUGGCAGAAGAAACGGCACGGGAUAAUACCCCGUGCAACUGACAGUACCUGCAGAAUAAGCACCGGCUAACUACGUGCCAGCAGCCGCGGUAAUACGUAAGUGCAAAAAAGCGUUCAAUCAGAAUUACUUGCCUGGGCGUAAAGCGUGCGCAGGCGGUUCGGAAAGAAGAUGUGAAAUCCAGAGCUUAGCUUUGGAACUGCAUUUUUAACUACCGAGCUAGAGUGUGUCAGAGGAGGUGGAAUUCCGCGUGUAGCAGUGAAAUGCGUAGAUAUGCGGAGGAACACCGAUAGCGAAGGCAGCCUCCUGGGAUAACACUGACGCUCAUGCACGAAAGCGUGGGAGCAAACAGGAUUAGAUACCCUGGUAGUCGCCACAAACGAUGUCAACUAGCUGUUGGGGCCUUCGGGCUGUGGUAGCGCAGCUAACGCGUGAAGUUGACCGCCUGGGGAGUACGGUCGCAAGAUUAAAACUCAAAGGAAUUGACAGGGACCCGCACAAGCGGUGGAUGAUGUGGAUUAAUUCGAUGCAACGCGAAAAGCACCUACCCUUGACAUGUCUGGAAUCCCGAAGAGAUUUGGGAGUGCUCGCAAAGGCCGGAACACAGGUGCUGCAUGGCUGUCGUCAGCUCGUGUCGUGAGAUGUUGGGUUAAGUCCGCAACGAGCGCAGCCCUUGUCAUUAGUUGCUACGAAGGGCACUCUAAUGAGACUGCCGGUGACAAACCGGAGGAAGGUGGGGAUGACGUCAAGUCCUCAUGGCCCUUAUGGGUAGGGCUUCACACGUCAUACAAUGGUCAGGACAGAGGUCGCCAACCCGCGAGGGGAGCCAAUCCAGAAACCCGAUCGUAGUCCGGAUCACAUGAUCUGCAACUCGACUGCGUGAAGUCGGAAUCGCUAGUAAUCGCGGAUCAGCAUGUCGCGGUGAAUACGUUCCGGGUCUUGUACACACCGCCCGUCACACCAUGGGAGUGGGUUUUACCAGAAGUAGUUAGCCUAACCGUAAGGAGGGCGAUUACCACGGUAGGAUUCAUGACUGGGGUGAAGUCGUAACAAGGUAG
rnacentral:rRNA from 1 species